rnacentral:rRNA from 1 species
GUGGGGAAUCUUGCGCAAUGGGCGAAAGCCUGACGCAGCCAUGCCGCGUGAAUGAUGAAGGUCUUAGGAUUGUAAAAUUCUUUCACCGGGGACGAUAAUGACGGUACCCGGAGAAGAAGCUCCGGCUAACUUCGUGCCAGCAGCCGCGGUAAUACGAAGGGGGCUAGCGUUGCUCGGAAUUACUGGGCGUAAAGGGCGCGUAGGCGGACAGCUUAGUCAGAGGUGAAAGCCCAGGGCUCAACCUUGGAAUUGCCUUUGAUACUGGCUGUCUUGAGUUUGGGAGAGGUGAGUGGAACUCCGAGUGUAGAGGUGAAAUUCGUAGAUAUUCGGAAGAACACCAGUGGCGAAGGCGACAUACUGGCUCAUUACUGACGCUGAGGCGCGAAAGCGUGGGGAGCAAACAGGAUUAGAUACCCUUGUAGUCC